rnacentral:misc_RNA from 1 species
AAUAAGAUCAACAAUUCAGAUACAUGUAUAGAUAUUGAUAUAGAUAUACGUAUUAACAUAUUAAGAUCAUUGAUCGCGGAGAAACCUUUGUAGGCAUCGAAAUCCCAAAUGUUCAGCACAAAACGCCUCUAGUUCAUCGCCGCCACCUCUCUCUUUGCAUACAUCCAUUUCCAUCCUCUCUACAACAUCAUCCCAAUCCAUUAGAAAUCCAUCCCAGUUUUGUAUUUUAGUGUCAGAAACAGCAUCUAGUAUCUCUUGCAGCCCUACAAUCCGGCGACUCAGAUCUCGUCUCAGCUCCCUGACUGAUGGAUCAAUUCCUGGAACUGAGUCUAAUCUCAGUAGCAAAUUCAUCAGUGCCUCGUUCAUCCUGAUUUUCUCUCGUUCACUGGACCUUACAGCGUCAACUGUGUCCUGUCGUUGGAUAAGACGCUGUAAAUAAUUGGCCUCAGAAUUGACGGCUGAGAUCUUCUUUACAAGGUUUCGAACUACGUGAGAUCUGUAAGCUGACUGUAUCUUAACAGCAGCCUUUCCGAUCGGAGCCGACGGGUUCCGAAGUUCAUUAUUUUCCGGCGGGGACUGAAUUGGAAUUUGGAUGAUCUUCGGGGUAGAUUGGUCAUUUGCCUCAAAAUAAGUAACUGUGGAAGCACCAGCACCAACACCGUCGACAUCGACAGAAGAGUAAUAGCUAGUUCUGCGAGAAGUUUUCAUAGCUUUUAGUACAAUAGUUCAAUAUUUACUUAUUUGAAAGAAAAUUCAAA